GGCGCAUCGCACGCACAGAGGGAGAGGGGGGUGAGGGGAUCACACCUUUCUCUCGCUUUCUCUCUCGUUUGCGAGCGGCGGCGCGGGCGCUCGAGCUGACGGUCGGUAGAGACGGCGCCGGGCAUCUGGAGGUAAGGUUAGGAGGCUGAUCUAGUGAGAUUGUUUUUCAACGGACCGCUUCCUGUGUUGUCAAGAUGGAUCAAAGGAGCAGGCUUUUAAUUUUUGCUGCUGCUGCAAACAUGUUAGUGUCGAUGAUGGCCCUUAUUAUUGAGUCUAGAAAUAGGAGAGUGCCAAGGAGAGUAGGAAUAACAUAUGGCCCAUUAGUUGAAAGGGAUAGAAAGAUAAGUGAACACCUCGAUGACCUCAUUUGGAGAAAUGAUAUAACUUGUAUCAACAUGCUUAGACUUAGAAAAUCAUCUUUCUUUCGAUUUUGUAAACUUUUUAGAGAUCGUGGCUUGCUUGAAGAUACCAUCAACGUGUGUGUUGAGGAACAAGUUGCUAUGUUUUUACAUACAAUUGGACACAAUCUUAGAAAUAGGGUAGUUGGUGCUACUUUCCGUAGGUCAGGAGAAAUAGUUAGUCGAUAUUUUAAUUUGGUACUUCAUGCGGUUGGAGAGUUAUGAAAUGAUCUUAUCAAGCCCCCAUCUUUGGACAUCGCACCUAAAAUAGCAGGCAACCACAGAUGGGAUCCAUACAUUAAGGAUUGUAUUGGAGCUAUUGAUGGCACACAUGUUAGAGCAUCUGUCCCAAAGAACAUGGAGUCGUCUUUUCGUGGUAGGAAGAAUCAUGCUACACAAAAUGUAAUGGCAGCAGUAGAUUUUGAUCUUCGGUUCACAUAUGUGUUGGCUGGUUGGGAGGGGGCUGCACAUGAUGUUGUAGUUUUAAGAGAUGCUUUGGAACGUGAAAAUGGUCUUCAUGUCCCCCAAGGAAAAUUCUACCUAGUUGAUGUUGGAUACGGAGCCAAACCGGGAUUUUUGCCACCCUUUAGAAGCACCCGGUAUCAUCUAAAUGAGUGGGGAAACAAUCCGGUCCAAAAUGAGAAGGAGUUGUUCAACCUUAGACACUCAUCCCUUCGUAUCACUGUUGAACGUGCAUUUGGGUCACUGAAGAGGAGGUUCAAAAUUCUUGAUGAUGCCACACCAUUUUUCCCCUUUCAGACUCAAGUAAACAUUGUUGUAGCUUGUUGUAUUAUUCAUAAUUGGGUGAUAAAUGAUGAUAUUGAUGAGCUUGUGAUGGGCCCAAAUGAGUCCAUAAUUCAAGACAACGAUACUUCUACGGUUGGCCAACCAAACGACCACGCAUGGAUGGUUCAAUUUAGGCAAGGACUUGCAGAUCAGAUGUGGGCCGAUCGUCAAAAUCACCAUGGAAACUAAAUUGUGCUUGUACUAUUUAGCAUUUCAAAAACAUGUUUGCAUUCCUUUGUGUGGAUGUAUUGUCAAGACUAAAUUUAUUUGUAGUUGUACUAUUUGUAUGGACUACUUGUAUGAUGAAUUUAAAUUGUACGAACAUAUGUAUUGAUGUAUUACUCUUGAAUGACCACUGUGCUGAUUUUUUUUUA